GGGAGGCGGGGUAAAGGCCCGGCCGGCGACUGAGAGUCGGCGGCGAAGAGAAGAUGGCGGCCAUUUUGUGUGGCAAUUCUCCAUCCAGCUCAAUGCCCUGGAUUUCUGGCUUCCAGGUCCUACAGCGUUCCCAAGGACCCAAAGGCUGGAAUCCCAAGCAUCUUACUCAGUUCACUUCCCUCCCUCCUAAGGGCCAGGAGUACAGAAAUAAAGGUUCAGGUUCAAAUGUAGGGAUACAAGUAAGAUUCUGGCACGAAGGAAAGAGGCCAAGAAUGGCUAGUGAUCCAAAGAAGUUACACUCUCUUUGAUCAAACAAUAAGAUUUACAAAACCAUGAUGCCAGUUUUGCUAGCAGGAGUUGAGAGUCUUCAUUCCUUCAAACAUUCAACAAAUAUUGAUUGGAUGUUUACUAAGAACUAGAGGAGGGAAGGGAAAGUGAUGAUUUCACCCACAAGGACUGAGAUUAUACGUGUGAAGAAUGAUUCAUGGAGUGAGAAGAGAAGGGCAUGGGGAACACAGCCAGAGAGAUACUCACAUUGAGGAGACAGCAGAAGGACAAGAGCCAGGAAAAGAACAGAGAAGGAGAGACAAGAAGCUGGGAGAAGCACAAAGUGAAGCUGGGUGAGGUCAGUAUUUCAAGGAGGACCCAAAAGGCCAAUGAGGAAGACCAAAAAGAAUGAGGCCGUCACUGGAGAUCAUAGCCACCAUGAUUUCUAUAAGACACUGUGGGCGGAAAAUAUACUCUGGUGAGUUGAGAUGUGAAUUGGAGGAGUCAUAGGCUGAGUGGUGCCUGAAGCAUGUUAAUUAAUCAUUUACCAGGCAAGCCAAAGCCAAGUAAAAUUUUGAAGUGAUUUCCUAGUACUUUCCUGUGAUACUUUUCUUGUUACUUGCCCACGGGAGUGAGAGCACCUUGAGGCCAAAAAUUAGCUUUGCUUCAGAACUGAGCCAGGGACACAGAGUAGCUCACAUCAGCACCUCCCACAUUAGACAUUAAAGGAGAAUACAUUCCAUUAUUUCACAAGUCUUUACAAAAUCCUAGUUACAGGAGGAAGUGAAACUUCCAUCUUUAAAGGUGCAGAAACUAGUAAACAAAAAACCAACCCAAUUUGCUUAAAUGAGUUGCUAAUAAGGAUAUAAGUCACAUCCAGAUCAUAAGAUUUCUUCUGAAUUAAGUUUCCCAAACACUAGACUUAUA